UACGGGGGGGGCAAGCGUUGUUCGGAAUUACUGGGCGUAAAGGGGUUGUAGGCGGCCAACUAAGUCCGACGUGAAAUCCCAAGGCUUAACCUUGGAACUGCAUCCGAUACUGGAUGGCUUGAAUCCGGGAGAGGGAUGCAGAAUUCCAGGUGUAGCGGUGAAAUUCGUAGAUAUUCGGAAGAACACCAGUGGCGAAGGCGACACACUGGCCCGUUACUGACGCUGAGGCGCGAAAGCGUGGGGAGCAAACAGG
rnacentral:rRNA from 1 species